rnacentral:rRNA from 1 species
UACAGAGGGUGCGAGCGUUAAUCGGAAUUACUGGGCGUAAAGCGUGCGUAGACGGCUAUCUAAGUCGGGUGUGAAAGCCCCGGGCUCAACCUGGGAAUUGCAUUCGAGACUGAAUAGCUAGGGUGCGGUAGAGGGAAGCGGAAUUUCCGGUGUAGCGGUGAAAUGCGUAGAUAUCAGGAGGAACACCUGUGGUGUAGACAGCUUACUGGACCAUUUCUGACGCUGAGACACGAAAGCGUGGGUAGCAAACAGG